UCCCAGUUCGGAUUACAGCCUGCAACCCGGCUGUAUGAAGCUGGAAUCGCUAGUAAUCGCAAAUCAGAAUGUUGCGGUGAAUACGUUCCCGGGUCUUGUACACACCGCCCGUCACACCAUGGGAGCCAGGAAUGCCCGAAGCCAGUGGCCUAACCGCAAGGGAGGAGCUGUCGAAGGCAGGCCCGGUAACUGGGGUGAAGUCGUAACAAGGUAAC
rnacentral:rRNA from 1 species